GACGAACGCUGGCGGCGUGCUUAACACAUGCCAGUCGAACGGAAAGGCCCUGCUUUUGUGGGGUGCUCGAGUGGCGAACGGGUGAGUAACACGUGAGUAACCUGCCCUUGACUUUGGGAUAACUUCAGGAAACUGGGGCUAAUACCGGAUAGGAGCUCCUGCUGCAUGGUGGGGGUUGGAAAGUUUCGGCGGUUGGGGAUGGACUCGCGGCUUAUCAGCUUGUUGGUGGGGUAGUGGCUUACCAAGGCUUUGACGGGUAGCCGGCCUGAGAGGGUGACCGGCCACAUUGGGACUGAGAUACGGCCAAGACUCCUCCGGGAGGCAGCAGUGGGGAAUAUUGCACAAUGGGCGGAAGCCUGAUGCAGCAACGCCGCGUGCGGGAUGACGGCCUUCGGGUUGUAAACCGCUUUCGCCUGUGACGAAGCGUGAGUGACGGUAAUGGGUAAAGAAGCACCGGCUAACUACGUG
rnacentral:rRNA from 1 species